rnacentral:rRNA from 1 species
AUUGAACGCUGGCGGCAGGCUUAACACAUGCAAGUCGAGCGGGGAGAUGUAGCUUGCUACAUAUCCCAGCGGCGGACGGGUGAGUAAUGCUUAGGAAUCUGCCUAUUAGUGGGGGACAACAUUCCGAAAGGAAUGCUAAUACCGCAUACGCCCUACGGGGGAAAGCAGGGGAUCUUCGGACCUUGCGCUAAAAGAUGAGCCUAAGUCGGAUUAGCUAGUUGGUGGGGUAAAGGCCUACCAAGGCGACGACCUGUAGCGGGUCUGAGAGGAUGAUCCGCCACACUGGGACUGAGACACGGCCCAGACUCCUACGGGAGGCAGCAGUGGGGAAUAUUGGACAAUGGGCGCAAGCCUGAUCCAGCCAUGCCGCGUGUGUGAAGAAGGCCUUUUGGUUGUAAAGCACUUUAAGCGAGGAGGAGGCUCCUUUAGUUAAUACCUAAAGUGAGUGGACGUUACUCGCAGAAUAAGCACCGGCUAACUCUGUGCCAGCAGCCGCAGUAA